UACAGAGGUCUCAAGCGUUGUUCGGAUUCAUUGGGCGUAAAGGGUGCGUAGGCGGCGCGGUAAGUCGGGUGUGAAAUCUCGGAGCUUAACUCCGAAACUGCAUUCGAUACUGCCGUGCUUGAGGACUGGAGAGGAGACUGGAAUUUACGGUGUAGCGGUGAAAUGCGUAGAUAUCGUAAGGAAGACCAGUGGCGAAGGCGGGUCUCUGGACAGUUCCUGACGCUGAGGCACGAAGGUCAGGGGAGACGAAACUGGAUAGACGUACCGUGUAGUCCAAGACCA
rnacentral:rRNA from 1 species